AACCAUGAUUCUUAGAUCUCAGCCUCCUGGGUAAGUAGGAUUGUGGAAGUGAGACACUGGCACCAGGCUUUAAGUUGAUUUUUAUAUUUCUAUGAAGAAUGACAUUGGGAUUUUGAUGGACAUUGCAUUAAAACUCUUGAUUGCUUUAAGUAGUAUAGCCAUUUUUACAAUAUCAAUUUAUCCAAACCAUAACCAUGGAAGAUCCUCCUUCCAUCUUCUAGUAUCUUCUUCAGUUUCUAUUCUCAGUGUUUUAUAGUUUUCAUUGUAGAGGUUUUUUGUGUCCUUAGUUAAGUUUUUUCCUAGAGGAUGUGUGUGUGUGUGUGUGUAACUUUUCUAGCUGCACCAUGUACAAUAUGGCUUAUAACUGUAGCCCUGUCAUCAGUCUAGACUACAAUAUGUUUCCAGUUUCACAUGUAGAUAUCUCCUAAAAUGUGUGUUUUUGUCCAUUCCAGGAAAAUGGCGGAUAUAGAAGUGAGAAAAACUACUUAAUGCUAAAAGUCACUGAACAACUGCCCAGAUCCUGCCAUGGUUCCCACAUCUUUUCUGUCACCUUCUGCUGUACAGUGGUUCCCUAUGUCUUCUGGUGAACUAGAGCUACUUCAUGUUUUAUGACCAGACCCUAGAGUGAUAUUCAGGAGAUCAACUUGAAUCGUGAUGUCAAGUUUAAUGCAAAACCCUUCACAACUCCAAGAAGAUCUGGACUUCAAAAGGAAGAUGUGAUGAUGUUCACAUGCCAGUCCAAUUAUUUUAACAAGCACACAUAGACCAAAGCAAUGGAGCCAACCAACCAAAGACCAGAGACCCUGAACCCAUAAUCCAAAAUAAGUCUUACUGUCAUCUGAAUUGUUUCUCUGGGGAAUUUGUACCAGCUAUGACAAACGGACACACACUGUAAGAUACCUUAUAAAUUCAUUUUCUAUGUUGAUUUUUUGUUGAAAUGAUAAUUUUGAAGA